rnacentral:rRNA from 1 species
CCUACGGGAGGCAGCAGUGAGGAAUAUUGGUCAAUGGGCUUACGCCUGAACCAGCCAAGUCGCGUGAGGGAAGACUGCCCUAUGGGUUGUAAACCUCUUUUGUCAGGGAGCAACGCCGGCUACGUGUAGCCGGACGGAGAGGACCUGAAGAAAAAGCAGCGGCGAACUCCGUGCCAGCAGCCGCGGUAAGACGGAGGAUGCGAGCGUUAGCCGGUUUUCUGGGGUUGAAAGGGUGCGUAGGCGGACGGCCAAGUCAGCGGUAAAAUCGCGGGGCACAACCUCGCUCCGCCGUUGAAACGGGCGUUCUUGAGUGGGCUAGAAGUCUGCUGCAUGCGUGUUGUAGCUG